rnacentral:tRNA from 1 species
GGGGGAAUGGCUCAAGUGGUAGAGCAUUUACCUAGCAAGCAUGAGGCCCUGAGUUCAAUCCCCCUUCCCCCA